GCGGCGGAGCAUGUGGAUUAAUUCGAUGCAACGCGAAGAACCUUACCUGGGUUUGACAUGCACAGGACGACUGCAGAGAUGUGGUUCCCUUGUGGCCUGUGUGCAGGUGGUGCAUGGCUGUCGUCAGCUCGUGUCGUGAGAUGUUGGGUUAAGUCCCGCAACGAGCGCAACCCUUGUCUCAUGUUGCCAGCACGUAAUGGUGGGGACUCGUGAGAGACUGCCGGGGUCAACUCGGAGGAAGGUGGGGAUGACGUCAAGUCAUCAUGCCCCUUAUGUCCAGGGCUUCACACAUGCUACAAUGGCCGGUACAAAGGGCUGCGAUGCCGUGAGGUGGAGCGAAUCCUUUCAAAGCCGGUCUCAGUUCGGAUCGGGGUCUGCAACUCGACCCCGUGAAGUCGGAGUCGCUAGUAAUCGCAGAUCAGCAACGCUGCGGUGAAUACGUUCCCGGGCCUU
rnacentral:rRNA from 1 species